AACGAACGCUGGCGGCAUGCCUAACACAUGCAAGUCGAACGAAGGCUUCGGCCCUAGUGGCGCACGGGUGCGUAACGUGUGGGAAUCUGCCCUUUGGUUCGGAAUAACAGCUGGAAACGGCUGCUAAUACCGGAUGAUGACGAAAGUCCAAAGAUUUAUCGCCAGAGGAUGAGCCCGCGUUGGAUUAGGUAGUUGGUGGGGUAAAGGCCUACCAAGCCGACGAUCCAUAGCUGGUCUGAGAGGAUGAUCAGCCACACUGGGACUGAGACACGGCCCAGACUCCUACGGGAGGCAGCAGUGGGGAAUAUUGGACAAUGGGCGCAAGCCUGAUCCAGCAAUGCCGCGUGAGUGAUGAAGGCCCUAGGGUUGUAAAGCUCUUUUACCCGGGAAGAUAAUGACUGUACCGGGAGAAUAAGCCCCGGCUAACUCCGUG
rnacentral:rRNA from 1 species